UGCAUAAGAAGAAAGGGAACUGAUUCCAUGGUGGUGUAGUGUUGAAUGUGAGUUAGAUGAAAUAAAAGGUUAUUUGAUUGUGUAUUGGUUUGAGUUGGGGUGGUUUGAGAAUUCCGAUCUAGGGUUCCGCCGCCGACCUAACAAGAGGAUUAUUGAUAAGAUCAAGGAGAAAAUUCACGGCGAAGAUAGCGGAAGCAAGGAAGACUGCUGUGAAGGUGAAAGAAAUAGAAGAAAUAGAAGAAGAGAAGGAAGGUCACCACGACGAUGGCGAUUGAAGUAGUAGCAGCAACAUCUGUUAGAUCUCAACUGUCGCUCAACUGUUUUCCACUAACAACAUUGAUCUAAGCAUUUCAUCUAUUUCAUCUAUGUGGUUUAUGAGGAGUUUAGGGUUUAGUGUAUAUUCUAUUUUGAUGUAUUGUUAUUAUACAAUGCGUGUGGAUUGAGGUUUUAAAUUGGGUUUUCUGUAUACAUACAUAGACAUGGGUAAAAGUAAGAAAUUUUCAUAUGGUUUGUGUAUAUGACUUUAUGGAGUUGAUAACUUUUAAAAUCAACCAAUGGCCAUCCAUAUUGGUUAAAGAAGGUGAUAAAUUGUUGCUUUGUUGGAGUUCAUUUGAAGAAUUGAGUCGUUGCAUUGGUUAGAGAUGGUUGCUUAAUUGAAAGGUUAGACACAAUGCUUGUCGUGGAUAUCCCUAUCAUGUGUACAGCCCACAAAUGCACGACAUGUGACAAGCAUAUCUACUUGGUGGACAAACUCAUUGCUGUAAUUAUGUCUUCUGCAAAGCUUGCUUGAGAUGCCACCAUUGCAGUGACACACUCGAGCUCAGUAACUACAUCUCCUUUGAGGAUGCUCUUUGUUGCAGGCCACACUUUAAUCAGUUGUUCAAGAAAAAGAAUAGUGGUAGCUUAGACAAGAGCACACUUCAAGUCAUAGUUGAAUGCAACUGCAAAAAAAGAGCAACAAGUGCUGUGGCAGAUGCUAAGUCGGGGAAGCAGGCUGCAACUCCUGAUCCCAAGAAAAAGAAGGGAAAGUGAUUACAAUCUCUGUUUGAUUCAGUUCGAUUUCAUUUUAUGCUUUUAUUUAUUCUAUAAUAAAUAUAGUGGCGUCUUGUAAGUGCAUCCAAAUGAGUCGAUGCUGCCACAGUUGUUUUAAUAUAGAUGUUGCAAUAUCUCAAGUUGUCGGCCAGCUUGACAGCUUGACCAACGUUGAUUCUAAAGCCUAUAUUUAAGGUUAUUUUUUG
rnacentral:lncRNA from 1 species